GCGGCUGCACUUCUCUCCGUUGGUGAGUCAACACAUGUUGGGUGAGAGCGAGAACCGCGUCUUGAAGGUAGCCGGCUCUUCGGAGUCGGUGUUAUAGCUAGGCGUGUACACAUCUCUGACCCGACAUGGGACACGUGCACUACAUUCCCUUCGGGGAUGGCCUUCGGGCACACAUGUAGGUAAAGUUGUUGGCGGUCAAAUGAUUUCAUACGACCCGUCUUGAAACACGGACCAAGGAGUCUAACAUGUGUGCGAGUCUUCGAGUGAUCGAAACUCACAGGCGAAAUGAAAGUGACAUUGAGGUGAGAUCUCGGUGCAUGCACCCAGCGCAUCAUCAACCGACCUACUAUCUUGCGAUUCAGGUUUGAGUAAGAGCACAUAUGCUGGGACCCGAAAGAUGGUGAACUAUGCUUGAGUAGGGUGAAGCCAGAAGAAAUUCUGGUGGAGGCUCGUAGCGAUUCUGACGUGCAAAUCGAUCGUCAAACUUGUGCAUAGGGGCGAAAGACUAAUCGAACCAUUUAGUAGCUGGUUCCCUCCGAAGUUUCCCUUAGGAUAGCUGGAGCUCGGAGUAUCAGUUUCAUCCGGUAAAGCGAAUGAUUAGAGGUAUCAGGGAUGAAACAUUUUUGACCUAUUCUCAAACUUUUAAUGGGUGAGAAGUUCGACCUGCCUAGCGGAGGUUCGAACAUUACGCGAAUGAAGGAGCUCCAAGUGGGCCAUUUUUGGUAAGCAGAACUGGCGAUGCGGGAUGAACCGAACGUAAGAGUUAAGGCGCCCAAAUCGACGCUCAUCAGACCCCACAAAAGGUGUUGGUUGAUCCAGACAGCAGGACGGUGGCCAUGGAAGUCGGAAUCCGCUAAGGAGUGUGUAACAACCCACCUGCCGAAUCAACUAGCCCUGAAAAUGGAUGGCGCUCAAGCGUCGUGCCUAUACUCUACCCACACCGUGAGCAGUGGCAGUGUGGAGUAGGAGGGCGUGGAGGUUGUGCAGAAGCCCUUGGUGUGAACCUGGGUGGAACGGCCUCUAGUGCAGAUCUUGGUGGUAGUAGCAAAUAUUCAAACGAGAACUUUGAAGGCCGAAGUGGAGAAAGGUUCCAUGUGAACAGCAGUUGGACAUGGGUUAGUCGAUCCUAAGGAUCAAGUUAACUCUGACGUGUAACGGUCACUUUCAACGGUGACCUCGAGCCGAAAGGGGAUCAGGUUAAUAUUCCUGAACCAGAACGCGGAUAUCUGUGGUCGUCUCGCGACGGGCACAGUGUUACGGCAACGUAAGUGAACCCAGAGACGUCGUCGGGCACCCCGGGGAGAGUUCUCUUUUCUUGUUAACAGUCUGUAGGGACCGUGGAAUUUGCUUGCCAAGAGAUACGGUCCACGAGACUGGUAAAGCCCUACAUUUGCUGUAGGGUCCGGUGCGUCCCCGAAGGCCCUUGAAAAUCUGGGGGAGAGAAUGAUUUUCGCGUCUGUUCGUACUCAUAACCGCAGCAGGUCUCCAAGGUGAGCAGCCUCUGGCCG
rnacentral:rRNA from 1 species